GACGAACGCUGGCGGCGUGCUUAACACAUGCAAGUCGAACGGAAAGGCCCUGCUUUUGUGGGGUGCUCGAGUGGCGAACGGGUGAGUAACACGUGAGUAACCUGCCCUUGACUUUGGGAUAACUUCAGGAAACUGGGGCUAAUACCGGAUAGGAGCUCCUGCUGCAUGGUGGGGGUUGGAAAGUUUCGGCGGUUGGGGAUGGACUCGCGGGUUAUCAGCUUGUUGGUGGGGUAGUGGCUUACCAAGGCUUUGACGGGUAGCCGGCCUGAGAGGGUGACCGGCGACAUUGGGACUGAGAUACGGCCCAGACUCCUACGGGAGGCAGCAGUGGGGAAUAUUGCACAAUGGGCGGAAGCCUGAUGCAGCAACGCCGCGUGCGGGAGGACGGCCUUCUGGUUGUAAACCGCUUUCGCCUGUGACGAAGCGUGAGUGACGGUAAGGGGUAAAGAAGCACCGGCUAACUACGUGC
rnacentral:rRNA from 1 species